AAGGGGGGUGCAAGCGUUGUUAGGAAUAAUUGGGCGUAAAGCGAGUGUAGGCGGCUUGACAAGUCAGAUGUGAAAUCCCUGGGCUUAACUAAGGAAGUGCAUUUGAAACUGUCAGGCUAGAGUAAGGGAGAGGAAAGUGGAAUUCCUGGUGUAGAGGUGAAAUUCGUAGAUAUCAGGAGGAACACCGGUGGCGAAGGCGACUUUCUGGCCCUAUACUGACGCUGAGACGCGAAAGCGUGGGUAGCAAACAG
rnacentral:rRNA from 1 species